UGCUGAUUGCUGCUGCUCUGAGCUGUUUGU
rnacentral:piRNA from 1 species